UGGGGAAUAUUGCACAAUGGGCGCAAGCCUGAUGCAGCAACGCCGCGUGAGGGAUGACGGCCUUCGGGUUGUAAACCUCUUUUAGCAGGGAAGAAGCGAAAGUGACGGUACCUGCAGAAAAAGCGCCGGCUAACUACGUGCCAGCAGCCGCGGUAAUACGUAGGGCGCAAGCGUUGUCCGGAAUUAUUGGGCGUAAAGAGCUCGUAGGCGGUCUGUCGCGUCUGCUGUGAAAUCCCGAGGCUCAACCUCGGGCUUGCAGUGGGUACGGGCAGACUAGAGUGCGGUAGGGGAGAAUGGAAUUCCUGGUGUAGCGGUGGAAUGCGCAGAUAUCAGGAGGAACACCGAUGGCGAAGGCAGUUCUCUGGGCCGUAACUGACGCUGAGGAGCGAAAGCGUGGGGAGCGAACAGGAUUAGAUACCCCCGUAGUCC
rnacentral:rRNA from 1 species